rnacentral:ncRNA from 1 species
UAGGUAGAGGUGCGCUUUCGAUGAGUAUCCGUUCCGGCUAAUGCCCGCGUCGGCUAUCAGAACAGGAAAAAGGCGCAAGCGCCGAAAGCGAACGCGGACGUGUGCGUUCGGCUUGGUCCGGCGGAAAAUAUCCGUCCGACUGUCGUAUUUUUUACGGAGAGCUAUCGGA